GUGUUCAUUUACUUCAUUCAUUUUUGAAAUAUUAUUUUUGCUUCAAUAUGCUAAAAAUUAAUUUUUUAUUAAAUGAUAACGAAUAUUGCAAAAUAAUUUUUUAUUUCCUCUUAAAUUGUCAGCGUCUUGUUUUCCUCAAUUUUAUCCCUAAAGGUCAAAUUAUGGCCUUCGACUCUGUUAGCAGAAAAAACAAAUAAACAGUAUUCUUCUGUUGCGUAUUACUCUCACUCAGCCAAACUUAUUAAAGAAGAUGAUGCAUAUAUUGCGCCGCUCUUUAAUGACCUCCCUUACAGCUUAAUUUUCUCCAUGUGUUUUCAUUUUAUCUUCCACAUAUAUACUCCCCUUGUUUUUUUGUGCUAGUCAGAACCUCAAGUGACCGGAUGACACCCCCUUUUUAUUAUCGUACUUUUAUAAUGACUGCAUUUAGAUGUGGCAGCUAUAGUAUUGUUCGAGUUCUCGUGACGAGCGCAACUUGAAUAUUACCCGAAUUUCUAGCAUCUCGCAAUCUGCUGACCAACUUAAUCAAAUCACAGACCAGCACUGCGGGACAAUUCAAGUAUUAACCAUGCUUCGUAACGAAGUACUCUCAGUUGCGAUCUUCUGCUUGCUGCUACUUAGUAUUGCCAAUUAUCAAGUAGACGCUAAAAGAGGUUCAUCGGUGAGGUUAUCAAGUUCUCAUGGUUUCAAGAAGUCGCCAAAAUCUUCUGGUUUCUACUCACGGUCACACAAUACUCUACAUACCCACCAUCAUUCCAACACCAAUAUUGGAAACAUUGAUAAAAAUGGAUUGAAGGAUUGCUCGUUUUUUGAUAGGGCAAUUCUUCGCAAAGAUCAUUGUAAGAAAACAUAAAUUAUUCAAAAUCAUGCAUUGUAAUGAACAUUGUAUCCUGGAGAUUAAUCAUUUUCAAUUGAUAUGAAUAUAAAAAAAUAUUACCGUGCUGCAUGAAAAAUGUAAAUAUAAAAAUACAAGAACUGGAUUUAAUCGAUCUCUCUUUGAAUAUCUGUUUGUUUCGCAAAAAAAAACAAUGAAAUAUGUUUAAGAAUAAAUUUGUGUGGUUUGA